rnacentral:rRNA from 1 species
UACGUAGGGGGCGAGCGUUGUCCGGAAUGAUUGGGCGUAAAGGGCGCGUAGGCGGCUGAUUAAGUCUGGAGUGGAAGUCCUAUUUUCAAGGUAGGAAUUGCUUUGGAAACUGAUCAGCUUGAGUGCAGGAGAGGUUAUCGGAAUUCCCGGUGUAGCGGUGAAAUGCGUAGAGAUCGGGAGGAACACCAGUGGCGAAGGCGGGUAACUGGACUGCAACUGACGCUGAGGCGCGAAAGUGUGGGGAGCAAACAGGAUUAGAUACCCUGGUAGU